UUAUGGGGAUGCCUGGGCAAAGGGUUAGUAUCACACAAACAUUAUACUGUACAAAUUACACAUACAUUAUUAUACCUUAUUGAACCCUUCUUUGCUGCUUGUUGAAUAUCCUUGUGUGUUCUUUCAGGGUGUCCCUGGUCGGGAUGGAGAGCAAGGACUAAGGGUAUGUUUGAGUGGCAUAACAAUGCCAAGAUCUCCAUAUUAUUGCAGUCAGUAUUAUGUGUUGGUCUUUGUGGGCUAAUAGAGAUGUUACAGUUGUAUCUUUUGUGCUCUUGAUGGUGCUGGACACCUUUCUCAUAAACUCUCUCCCGCGGUCUUUUCCUUUAGGGGGACCUUGGAGAACCAGGAUUUAGGGGCAGAGAUGGCCAAAAGGGUGCCAUCGGAGAACUUGGGGAGUUGAUCUAUUAUGAAGGUCCCUCAGAAGGGCCUAACAGAGGUAUGAUUAGCCAAUCAACUCAUCAAUCACUUUUCUAUCAGCAUCAACUAUCAAUAUAUAGUAUCGUCUUUCUCCACGUAGUCAGCCUUUCAUUGAAUAUGAUGUUGAACAUUAAAGACUAGCUUGUAGAGUUGUUAUAAUAUAUUGCUUACUGUUUUAUUGUUAUAAUACUGAUCGUUAUAUUGCUACUGAUUGAUGUCCAUGUUGGGGUGGGGAUGUAGUUGGUCCCCCUGGACAGCUGGGACCCCAGGGAGAGAUGGGUUUGCAGGGGGAGAAAGGUCUGCCGGGCCGGGCUGGACCUCCUGCUAGGAAGAGUGAUAGUCAAAUACAAGGUCAGUACCAAACCCUUACUUAUCUAGUCAGUGGCCAGUAGUGUUAGAAGGUUUUUUACACUAGUUACAGUGAUGUAGAUCUAUUGUACUUAAUAUGGUAUAAUAACAAUUAUUAUAAUUGUAUUGUUAACAAGUUGUGCACUGUUUUAUCUCCCUUAUCCCUCAUGCGCCAACAGUGGAGUACCUGUGGGGUCCGUUCGGGGAACCGGGGAUAAAGGGAGAGACGGGCCCACCUGGAGAGCCAGGUAUCCCUGCUCUCAGCCCCGGACCCCCAGGUAUCGGCGGAAUAUCUGGGUUGAGGGGCCCACCUGGACCACCAGGAUCAUGGGCGGACUUCUACAAGGGAUUUGCUGGGUCGAGAGGGCGGCCAGGCUCUGCGGGGAGAAAAGGACUGAAAGGUUAGAGUGUGUGAUUAUUCAGACAUGUAAUCCGUGAUGUACGUUUGU
rnacentral:lncRNA from 1 species